UACAGAGGGUGCAAGCGUUGUUCGGAAUUACUGGACGUAAAGCGCGUGUAGGUGGCGAGGCAAGUCGGGUGUGAAAGCCCUGGGCUCAACCCAGGAAGUGCACUCGAUACUGCCUAGCUAGAGUCCCGGAGAGGUUGGUGGAACUCUCGGUGUAGAGGUGAAAUUCGUAGAUAUCGAGAAGAACACCGGUGGCGAAGGCGGCCAACUGGACGGUGACUGACACUGAGACGCGAAAGCGUGGGGAGCAAACAGGG
rnacentral:rRNA from 1 species